GACAAAAUGGUAGAAGUUAGUUUGAACAGAUUUGGCCGCAUUAGGCAUCUGGUUACCAGGGCUGCCAUUGCCCUCCAUCCACUUGGCAAAGUGGAGAUUGUUGCCAUCAACAACCCCUUCAUUGACCUCAACUACAUUGUCUACAUGUUCCAGUAUGACUCCACCCAUGGCAAAUUCAACGGCACAGUCAAGGCUGAGAAUGGGAAGCUUGUCAUCAACCGGAAGCCCAUCAUCAUCUUCCAGGAGUGAGAUCCUACUAACAUCAAAUGGGGUGAUGCUGGUGUUGAGUAUGUUGUAGAGUCUACUGGCAUCUUCACCACCAUGGAUAAGGCUGGGGACCACUUUAAGGGUGGGGCCAAAAGGGUCAUCUUCUCUGCCCCUUCUGCCAAUGCUCCCAUGUUUGUGAUGAGUGUGAACCACAAGAAAUAUGAUAACUCACUCAAGAUUGUCAUCAAUGCAUCCUGCACCACCAACUGCUUAGCCCACCCCCACCCCCGGCCAAGGUCCUCCAUGACAACUUUGGCAUCAUGGAAGGGCUCAUGACCGCUGUCCAUGCCAUCACUGCCACUCAGAAGACUGUGGAUGGCCCCUCUGGAAAGCUGUGGUGUGAUGGCCAUGGAGCUGCCCAGAACAUCAUCCCUGCAUCCACUGGUACAGUGAAGGCUGUGGAUAAGGUCAUCCCAGAGCUGAACGGGAAGCUCACUGGCAUGGCCUUCCAUGUUCCUACCUACAAUGUAUCUGUUGUGGAUCUGACAUGUUGCCUGGAGAAACCUGUUAAGUAUGAUGACAUCAAGAAGGUGGUGAAGCAGGCAUCCGAGGGCCCACUGAAGGGCAUCCUGUAGGACCAGAUUGUCUCCUGCAAGUUCAACAGCAACUCCCAUUCUUCCACCGUUGAUGCUGGGGCUGGCAUUGCUCUCAAUGACAACUUUGUAAAGCUCAUUUCCUGGUAUGAUGAUGAAUAUGGCUACCGCAACAGGGUGGUGGACCUCAUGGCCUACAUGGACUCCAAGGAGUAAGAAACCCUGGGCCACCCACAAGUAAGGACACUGAGAGCAAGAGAGAGGCCCUUGGUUCCUGAGGAGUCCCUAUCCCAAUACUGAGCAUCUCCCUCAAAAUUUCCAUCCCAGACUCCCAUAAUAACAGGAAGAGCCUAGGGAGCCCUCCCUACUCUCUUGAAUACCAUCAAUAAAGUUCUCUGCACC